UUUUUCAUUUUGAAUUCAAGAAGUUGGAUGGUCCAAGAAUUGGAUGGUCAAGUGUGAAGGUUUUGAUUUUUUAGAUGCAUAUUCUAUGUAUUUUUUAAAAUAUUUUUCAUUUUGAAUUCAAGAAGUUGGAUGGUCCAAGAAUCUAAAUUGGCUAAUAUCUACAAAAUCUAGAAUUGCUACAACCCCCUUGGAAUAUUUUAAUAAGAUGAAAAAUGUAAUGAUAUAUGUACUAAAUUGUAUACAUUUUUAUAAUUUUAUUUUCCCCUUCCAUUUAUAUUUUAUGAAACAUGUUCCUAUUCAAUAUAGCACCCUUCAAAAACAUACAAAGCCAUGUUUUGUAAAAUUUUAAAGCCCACCACUUACAUACAAAUCAUAACUUUCAUUCAAUGUUGAAUUUUAAAGGAGAAAAAGAAAAUGGAGUCUAAUUUAUAAUUUAAUUAAACAUUUUCAAGUUUUGAACAAAAUGAUGUCUAAAUAAAUAAAUAAAUAAGUCAAAUUCUAUUUUUAAAUGAAUGCGAAGGAAGCUUAACGGGACCAAAAAUUGAAUUUGAAAUUGUUAUGACCCGAGUAUCUUACGGUCCAAUCCAAAAGAAUAAAGUAUUAAAUGAUACUAGCACUCUAUUCCUAUAUAUAUAUAAAAUAUUACUUUUCCUUUAAAUGUGAGGACAAAACUUGCUGUAAUGAUUUAUUUAUAUAUAUUUCUUAAAUUAAAAAUAAUAAAUUUAAGGUAUAGUCCCUCCCUCCCUCCCAAAGCGCCAAAACCCUAACCCAUUUCCUCCUCGUUCCCCCCGUUUCAAUACACACUCAUAAGCCCUAGAAAGCAGCAUUUGUCCCAAAAACCCUAAACCCAUUUGCUCCUCGUUCUCCAGCUCAAAACACACUCAUAAACCCUACAAAGCAGCAGCGAGAGAUGUCAGACCUCCCGGUGGAGGUAACCGCUGACAUUCUAUCGAGAUUGCCGGUAAAACCCCUUCUGCAUUUCAGGUGUGUAUCAAAACCAUGGCGUGCUCUGAUCGACAGCCCACAUUUCAUCAAUUUGCAUCUCAAUCGAUCUAUUGAAACCAAUUCCAAUCUCAGCCUCAUAUUUAGUGAUGGUUCUCUGUACUCCAUCGACUUCGACACACUCGACCGUGCCGUGAUGCUCGACCACCCCGUGAUGCUCGACCACCCCUUGAAGCCCAAUGGGUGUAGAACUGGAGUAGUGGGCUCCUGCAACGGCUUGCUCUGUUUAUCCAACAAGGACAAGGACCAAAUGGUCUUGUGGAACUUUUCGACCCGAAAACACCACAAGUUACCGGUCGCACCAAUAAUCGAGUUCCCGCGCGGAUUAGGGUUUUGGCCGUCUAUAGCUUAUGGGUUUGCUUAUGAUUCUGUCCGUGAUGACUACAAGUUGGUGAGGAUUGUACAGUACUGUAAUGGCAAAAAUGAUGGUUCAGUUUAUUCUGAAGUUAGGGUUUAGACUCUGAAAUCGAAUUCUUGGCGAAGGAUUCAAGAUUUCCCUUAUUACCUCCCAUACAACCCAUUCAAGCAAGAGAAUGCUGUGCUUGUUAGUGGGGCUUUGCACUGGGUUGUUUGUGGAGGACCCAACUUGGGUAAAGCAAAUUUGAUUGCUGCUUUUGAUGUUGGGGUUGAGGAAUACCGGUUGUUUCCACAGCCUGACUAUUUGGAUGAUAAGGAUUUUGGUAUGAGUGUGGGGUCAUUAGGAGGAUGCCUUUGCAUAAAUUGCAAUUAUGCUAGAGACCGAGUUGAUGUAUGGGUGAUGAAAGAGUAUGGGGUAAAGGAAUCUUGGUCUAAAUUGUUUUCUGUUGAGCAGCCAAGUGUAAUUUUUGAAUUUCUUGAUGUGAGGCCUCUAGCAUAUUCAAAGACUGGUGGGGAAGUACUUCUGGACCAGGACAAUGCAAAGCUUUUCUGGUUUGACUUGAGAACGAAAACAGUCAAGAAUGUUAGUAUUCCUUGUUGGCCGGAUUUCGAUGAAGAUCUAAUUUGUGUGGGAAGUCUAGUUCCACUCCACAGUAAUGGUGGAUGAGAUGGAAAAACCAGCAAGCACAAGAGAAGGUGAGAGCAAGAAGAAAAGAAAGGAGAGAAUAUCUAUUGCAAUGGAACCUGGAUCGAUUUAGGAGGUGCUAGUGUUGACAUGGAUUUAAAUUUGAAACUCUAUCUAAAAGCAAGAUGAGCCAGAGUCACCUUGCUGUAUACUUAUUCUUGUUAUAUUACGAAGGAUGCUCCUGUGAGGUACUUUAUAUUUACCUGCUUGGAUUAGAUUAGUACAAUGUAUUGCUCUCUAUUUCAUUCCUCCUGCUCUUUUAUUAAAUGUAAUUAUAGAGGAAGGAAACUUGGAGGAAAGUGUGAUCUUGGCAUCGUGACUGCUUUAUUAUGUUGAUUCUUCCUAAAGUUAAAUGAUGACUUGUUGAUUCUUAUCUGUUUAA